UGGACCAAUGCUUCUAGUUCCUGCUCUAAGCAGGAUGAAAUAACACCAUGGACAUCUUCUGUUCAGGUAGAAUUGGAGUAUUGGUGACAAACAGUCUUGGCAGGUAGUUUAACCUCCUCCCAAACACAAGUGCAAAGAUGCCUCCAAUUCUUUUCUGACAUAAGAGAAUCUGUGAGGUCCAGUGAAUCUUGGAGCUGUGUGUGUGGGUGCUUCCCUGAAGGAGUUUCCAGUGAAAUAGAUACAGCUGAGCUGACUGCAGCACUUCUUUCUAGAGCAGAGCUGUCAAGAGGAUGAAUGAAUACUAUGGUGCUGCUUGGUGCCCACUUCAGAGAGGCAAUCCUGUUCCUCCUAGUCAGUAGCAUGACGUUUUCUUCUCUGAACUGAACUGGAUUUGUAAGCCCUUAAUGUUAAAAUUUUUGUCUAAAAUUAAUAAGCAUCCACCCCCUUAAAAAUCUCAUUAAAAUUUGUUUUUGGCAGGUUGCCUCCCAGAGUCUUGACAGCACUUUGGGUGCUGAUGAUCUGAUCAGAGUGUCUUCUCAUUCCCUCCUCCUUCCCCAUCUGUUUGUAUCCACCUCUUGUGUUACAGAAAUAAACCGUUUGGGGUGAGAA